ACCUUUAUACCCAAUUUUACUAGCAUGUCUUUAGUCCUUAGGCGUCUAUGCAAAUAGAGCCAUAAUAUACUUCGGUUCUACGAUGUUGUGACAAUAGACUCUCCUCCAUAGCACAUCUGUUGAGGGCUCACGCAGCUGUUUAUAAGCUUUAGCUAUCUAGAACUUUUCAUUUUUUAUAAGCUCAUGUAUGUUGCCAAGUUGCUGCUAGCACUUCCUCAUAUUUAUAAUUUUCCUGAUCAUCUAAGAGGCCUGCUUAGGGAUCAUCAUAGAGAAAAUAUUUUGCCUCUUUAUAUAGUAUUGAUGAACCCAUG
rnacentral:lncRNA from 1 species